CCUACGGGAGUCAGCAGUGAGGAAUAUUGGUCAAUGGGCGCGAGCCUGAACCAGCUAAGUAGCGUGAAGGAUGACUGCCCUACGGGUUGUAAACUUCUUUUAUAACGGAAUAAAGUGAGGCCCGUGUUCCUUUUUUUAUGUACUUUAUGAAUAAGGAUCGGCUAACUCCGUGCCAGCAGCCGCGGUAAUACGGAGGAUCCGAGCGUUAUCCGGAUUUAUUGGGGUUAAAGGGAGCGUAGAUGGGUUGUUAAGUCAGUUGUGAAAGUUUUCGGCUCAACCGUAAAAUUGCAAUUGAUACUGGCAGCCUUGAGUACAGUUGAGGUAGGCGGAAUUCGUGGUGUAGCGGUGAAAUGCUUAGAUAUCACGAAGAACUCCGAUUGCGAAGGCAGCUUACUAAACUGCCACUGACAUUGAUGCUCGAAAGUGUGGGUAUCAAACAGGAUUAGAUACCCCAGUAGUC
rnacentral:rRNA from 1 species